GGGGACGUGGCCAAGCCAGGGAUGGCGACUGACUCCAGAGGCCACGCGCCCGGGACGACACUCCAGACUGAUAUACCGAGCGACCGACUGAUCAUCGGCUCGCGUUGACGACCCUCUGGAGUUCCGAGGCGCAGACCGGAGAUAUCAGUCGAUCGGGGGUUCAAAUCCCUCCGUCCCCA
rnacentral:tRNA from 1 species